CCGAGGUUUGAAAGCGGCAGAGUUGAGGGAGGGGCCGGGGGCGGAUGGGUGCCGGGAGCGUUCCGGCGGCGGCGGCGGCCCGGGAUGGCGAAGCGCUUGGAUCACUUAAAACAAUACUACCGAGCAAGAUUCUGCGGGCAAGAAGGAAAGAAGAUCAACAUACAGCCUGGUGAAAAUGUUCUGAAAUACAUACAGGAUUGUUUUGAAUGUGAUGAUACUGAUGUCAUAGUAAGCUCUCCAGAUGCAACUUGUUUCUCAACUCCUCAUGUCAGAAACCAGGAGAGGACUUCAACACAGAGCCCUAAGCCAGAUGCAGGGUUAACCAAUGUGGUAGGAAAUAGAACCUGUCAUUCUGCAGUGUCCUUACCUGCAACGCCAGCAGAGACUGUCAGGAGCAAAGAGGAGCUAUAUGUGUUCUACCCAGAGCCUGGAAGAAACAGUCGCAUAGCUGAUUCUGUCAAAACAGACAGUCCUGUGCCUAGAGGAGAAACACAGGUGUUAACAUUCAAAGAUGUUGAAGUACUGUGUGAAAGUCCUGCUAAGUUAUCAGAUCCUGAGGAUGAUCACGGGAUUGUGGGAUCACCUCUUCUUGUGGAAGAAGCAAAAACUUCUCCUGUGCAAACGCGUACGGUCUCAAUCGCACCAUCAUCACCUCCUCCUAUCAAAGAUCAAAAUGUAGAAAUAGAAAGCGAUUGUGAGUUUUUAAUUGAUGAAUCAGAUUGUCUGUCUUUUAAGUCUUGGUUUUCAAUACCCCGCAAGAACAGAAAGUCAAAAAAAGAUGGCUCUGCGACUCCUGUUUUGAAAUCUCAGUCCUCUGAAAAGGAAAAGACAGCAGAUAAGAAAUGCAAGAACAUGAAGGUACAGGCUGAAGUACAUAGUGAACAGAAAAUGAAGAAGGUCGGAGGGCAACAUGACUUGAAAAGAAUAUCAGAAUCCCAUCCUGUCUCUUCUGACAUUGAGGGAAAGGUCUUUAAAUCUCAAAUGCGAAGCAGUACUCGUGUGGGAAAAUCUAAAACAGAUCAACUUAAGGGCUCUUCCAAACAUAGAAAGAUGUCCUAUGAAUCAGAAGCUGAACAGCUGAUGCUGUCUGGAUUGGACUCAGAAGCAUCUGAUGAAGAACAAAAGAUAAGAAGGGUGAUGGCAAGAGAGGAUUUGCCAAUGCCCUCAGCUGAGCAUCAGCAAGAGCAGAUGCUAUCUCCAAAAAAGAAUCUCACUCCUUGCAAGUACCAGCAGUCUGCUUCAAAAGCUUAUCAGCGUUCAGUUCACAAGAAACAAACUAAGCAGAAACUCGCAAAUGAUAAGGUGUUGAAGAACAAAAGGAAAAAGUUGAAAAAAUCUGGAAAGAGAAAUGGUAAUAAAAAUCCUGAGCAACAGAGAUGGAAAAGUUCUGACAGUGAACCUGGUGAAGAAGGACUUGAAAGAGAACCCUUAGAAUCAAAUGAAAUGUUUACCUCACCUCCGCAUCAGGAAUUACAGACUUCUGUGCUUCAGAAGUUGGCUAAGUCUGAAAAAGCUGAGAAAGUAUUGCACUCUUUGGAAACAGUUACUGAUGUAAAUAACAAAACUCCUUUAAAAGCUGCAGAGUUACUGCAGCAUCUCAUAGGCAGUAUGAAGAAUUCUGAAAAGAAAAAAUCAUCAGCUACGUCUUCAGGGAAGACGCUCAAGAAGAUUCAUCACAGAGCCCAUAAAAGAGCUUGCUCAAUCACGGGGGACACUGAGCGUCAAAAUACAACAGAUUCUGACGGCUCUUCUGCACAGGAGGUGACAAGAAAAAAACGCAAGCAAUCGGAUAUGAAAACAAGUAAAAAAAGAAAAAGUAACGGGCACCAGAGACUGCACGGGCUUGUUCUAGAACAUUCUGAGAAAUAUACUUCGCCAAGUAAGCAUUGUGAAGAGAAUAAUGAAUCUUCAGAUAAUUCUGAAGACCUGCAUUGUCAAAUAAAAAAUCUACUGUCAGACGAGAUAGGCAGGCAAAAAAUAGUGCUGCCUUCCAACACGCCUAAUGUUCGUCGGACAAAAAGGAUACGACUUAAACCUCUGGAAUAUUGGCGAGGAGAGCGAGUAACCUAUACAUUGAAGCCUUCAGGAAGGCUUUUAAUUAGUGGAAUAGCAGGUGCAGAAACAGAACCUCACACGAAGAAUAAGCUGAAGAGUCAUCAUAAGCAGAAAAGAACUAGAACAAAAAGUGAAGUAGCAAAAUGUUUGGAUAUCCCCCUGGCUGAUGCCUCUAAGCCAACCAGCAUAGUGGACCCAGUAACAAAUCGCGAAGUUCUUCUAGAGUGUGUUAACUCUGGAAGCAGUCAUUCAUGUUUCUUCGAAGAUGAAUCGAUAAAAGUAUAUAAAAGUUUGAAUACAUCUGAUUUUGCUGCUGGUAAAUUGAUCUUGAAACCUCUUAAAGAAAAGGGACACCAGUUUGUCCACAUGGAUACAAUAGCUUUCUAUGUUAUCCGUGGCCAGAUUAUUAUCACCUUGCAUAAGACAUCAUAUUACCUGACUUCAGGGGAUUAUUUCUAUGUUCCAGCAGGAAAUGGAUAUAACGUACGUAAUCUUCUGAAUGAGGAAAGUGUUCUUCAUUUCACACAACUCAAAAAUGACAGGGCUCCUGUGGGUGCUGAGUUGUGCAGUGUGGCAAAUGAGAACUGGUCAUUGGAAGGAAAAACUUGAUGUUUCACCUCUGCUUGUUCUUGCUGUGGCUCCUGCUUCCUACAUUGCUGUACCAAUUGCAGGGAGCAUGUUGUCGGAGCCCUCUUCCCCAUAGAUUCACCUUCAGACUGAAGAUCGUCUAAUGGGAGAGAGUUCUAAAGAACACUGUUAACUACCAUCCAGGUAGAAAUAUAUCCCAGUACUGGGAGCGUGUACUUUCAUUGGUCUUAAGAGAUUUUCCUCCUCUGUAAAUUGUAAAUAUAUGAUUUGUUACAAAUUAGUUUUUCUUUCUUGUCAAUAAAUGUUAAGUAAUACAAACCCAUUUUGAUUUCUUUGCCUUUCUAAAUCAUUUAAAAGUGAAUUUUCUGGUAGUUGAUGAAAGAUUGAAAUUGCAAGUAAUUGCGUGAAAAUGAAGAGCUUGACUUGUAAAUAUAUGUAUAAUGCAUAACACUGAGUGUUACAAGGACAUCACCAGUGAAUCUGUUAACUGUUCCAGUGGAGUUGCUCAAACUUCUUUUAGAAGUUUGAAAGUUAAAUAUGCUAAUACAGAUUGUCUUUGAAAAACAGUGUUACUGACUGUGUGACUUUGGUUCCAGUGUUACUGCCAUAGGUAUACAGGAACUCCAGCUUAUAAUGUUGUAGGAUCUUUUAGUUUAGAGGUAAAUCAUGAACAGAGCUGAACUGCUGCGUUGUCAUAAUCUUUUAGUGCUCUUGAAAUC